rnacentral:lncRNA from 1 species
CACAUUACAGAAUUGUUUCCAAUUUGAUAAUAUUUGGAAAAUAUUGAUACAGCAUGCACUUGUUACACAAAGAAAAUUAUAGGUGGACAGCAAAUUCUCCCAGUACCUGCACACUGAAGGCACAGGCCUUGGCAAACAGGUUUAAUCUAUCAGACAUGUAAAGCCACAAAACUUUGCUACUGUUUCAGAUUAAAGAAAAGAAAGCAACCAAAAAUAUGCAUUAUAUACAAAAUAAGUGGCUUUAUGCUCAUGAUUUUGCUGGUUGUUUCUGAUUGCAAAACAAGGAGGUUUCCUGCAACCACUGUGUUGGGUCUUGUGCCCAUCUUGCUUGCGGUCAGCCUGUCUUUUGCUGGGUUUUUGCUUUCUAGUAGUAGGACUGAACCUCCAGUGCACUUCAUUUAAGUGCAUUUUUCUCAAGGAGGAAUCAAGGUAAAAACCGGUUUCUCUUUACUGAGUUCUACAUCUGACUUUCCUUGCUGUUUUGUUUCUCAGAACAUCAAUCAUGCCUUUGUUCUGCAUUGUCUUUCCACAAGCUGUUUACAGUAUGCCAUCAACAGCAAUCAAGGAUCUGAUUCUAUCUCUCCUGUUACUGUUGAUUAAAUAGAAAGAGUAAAAACAAAAAGAGAACUUGCUUGCUUAAUCAGAAUAGAGUUUAUUUACACACAAAGGCAUACAUUUGCCUGUAGUCAGGCCCAAAGAAACUGCUGUUCUUACAUACAGGUUUAGUUUGGCCCUCUAUUUAAUCAUUAACUCUUUCUGUUCUAAUCAAAAGGUUCAUUCAAAUUGUGAUGUUACAAAGGAAAGCUUUACUCAGCUUCAGAAAUGCUGAAUGUGGAUGAACAUGUGCGUUGCAACUCAAGGAAGACACUGAGCAUUGAACGGCCACAUCACGUGAGGUGCAAGAUAAGCACAGGUGCUUAUGCUGAAACCACAUCCUCUCCUCACCGAUGAGAUCCCUGCUCUGCUGAGGACACUUUUGGUCUCUCUGAGGGAUUUGGGAGAGGUCCUCCAGCUUCUGAAUCCUCAUGGACCUCCUCGGUGCUCUGACCUCCCUGCCUGCAGCUGGGGCAGACUUCAUGAGAAUGAAAAGAAAGAAGCUAUAACUAAAAUGUAAAUGCUGCAGAAGAUGCCUCUUCUAUUCCAUCAGCAAUGUCUGCAACUCUGCCUUUGAGUCUCAGAUUUAAUUACUGACGAUGGUCCUUCAAGUGUUAUGGUCCCACUGCAGCAAAGCCACAGUUUUGCUGGGAAAGUGACUCCAGAAAGAGAAAGAACUAAAUAAAAAGUAUCAUGUGAUUCCA